UACGUAGGGUGCAAACGUUGUCCGGAAUUAUUGGGCGUAAAGAGCUCGUAGGCGGUUUGUCGCGUCUGCUGUGAAAACUCGGGGCUUAACCCCGGGCCUGCAGUGGGUACGGGCAGACUAGAGUGCGGUAGGGGAGACUGGAAUUCCUGGUGUAGCGGUGAAAUGCGCAGAUAUCAGGAGGAACACCGGUGGCGAAGGCGGGUCUCUGGGCCGUAACUGACGCUGAGGCGCGAAAGCGUGGGGAGCAAACAGG
rnacentral:rRNA from 1 species